UUUUGUAUAAUGGGUCAGCGACUUAUAUUCUGUAGCAAGGUUAACCGAAUAGGGGAGCCGAAGGGAAACCGAGUCUUAACUGGGCGUUAAGUUGCAGGGUAUAGACCCGAAACCCGGUGAUCUAGCCAUGGGCAGGUUGAAGGUUGGGUAACACUAACUGGAGGACCGAACCGACUAAUGUUGAAAAAUUAGCGGAUGACUUGUGGCUGGGGGUGAAAGGCCAAUCAAACCGGGAGAUAGCUGGUUCUCCCCGAAAGCUAUUUAGGUAGCGCCUCGUGAAUUCAUCUCCGGGGGUAGAGCACUGUUUCGGCAAGGGGGUCAUCCCGACUUACCAACCCGAUGCAAACUGCGAAUACCGGAGAAUGUUAUCACGGGAGACACACGGCGGGUGCUAACGUCCGUCGUGAAGAGGGAAACAACCCAGACCGCCAGCUAAGGUCCCAAAGUCAUGGUUAAGUGGGAAACGAUGUGGGAAGGCCCAGACAGCCAGGAUGUUGGCUUAGAAGCAGCCAUCAUUUAAAGAAAGCGUAAUAGCUCACUGGUCGAGUCGGCCUGCGCGGAAGA
rnacentral:rRNA from 1 species